GUAGAGCACUCCUACGGGAGGCAGCAGUGGGGAAUAUUGCACAAUGGGCGCAAGCCUGAUGCAGCCAUGCCGCGUGUAUGAAGAAGGCCUUCGGGUUGUAAAGUACUUUCAGCAGUGAGGAAGGUGGGUAUGUUAAUAGCAUAUUCAUUUGACGUUAGCUGCAGAAGAAGCACCGGCUAACUCCGUGCCAGCAGCCGCGGUAAUACGGAGGGUGCGAGCGUUAAUCGGAAUUACUGGGCGUAAAGCGCAUGCAGGUGGUUUGUUAAGUCAGAUGUGAAAGCCCGGGGCUCAACCUCGGAAUUGCAUUUGAAACUGGCAAACUAGAGUACUGUAGAGGGGGUAGAAUUUCAGGUGUAGCGGUGAAAAUGCGUAGAGAUCUGAAGGAAUACCGGUGGCGAAGGCGGCCCCCUGGACAGAUACUGACACUCAGAUGCGAAAGCGUGGGGAGCAAACAGGAUUAGAUACCCUGGUAG
rnacentral:rRNA from 1 species